rnacentral:misc_RNA from 1 species
GUGAAUCAUCGAAUUUUUGAACGCAAAUUGCGCUUCCUGGAAUUCUGGGAAGUAUGCCUGUUUGAGGUUCAGUAUUAAUAAAAAAUCGGUUUAGUUACAAAUUGUGACGUUUCCGGUGUUUGGGCUAUCUUAACAUUUUUGGUUAAGUGGCUUAAAUUUGACCUAUUUUGUGAAUUUUUAAAUGUACAUAAAUUUUUUUUAUUCGUCUAUUCUUAAUGCCAUAUUUUUAUUAGAUGCGAUCAAAUCGUGUGGCUUCGUGGCG